rnacentral:rRNA from 11 species
CCUUUCUGCCCAAAUACCCCAAGGGCACCAGAUCUUGUCUUAUCUUGAAAGCUAAGCAGGGUAAGCUCUGCUUAGGACUUGAAUGGGAGACUGCCAAUGAAUACCAGGUGCUGUAAGCU